rnacentral:misc_RNA from 1 species
GAUGAAGAACGUAUCGAAAUGCGAUAAGUAAUGUGAAUUGCAGAAUUCAGUGAAUCAUCGAAUCUUUGAACGCACAUUGCGCCCGCCAGUAUUCUGGCGGGCAUGCCUGUUCGAGCGUCAUUUCAACCAUCAAGCCCCGGGCUUGUGUUGGGGACCUGCGGCUGCCGCAGGCCCUGAAAAGCAGUGGCGGGCUCGCUGUCACACCGAGCGUAGUAGCAUACAUCUCGCUCUGGGCGUGCUGCGGGUUCCGGCCGUUAAACCACCUUUUAACCCAAGGUUGACCUCGGAUCAGGUAGGAAGACCCGCUGAACUUAAGCAUAUCAAUAAGCGGAGGA